rnacentral:rRNA from 1 species
UACGUAGGGUGUAAGCGUUGUUCGGAAUUACUGGGCGUAAAGGGCGCGUAGGCGGGCCCGUAUGUCGAUUGUGAAAGCCCAGGGCUUAACCUUGGAAUUGCAGUCGAAACUGCGGGUCUUGAAUGCCUGAGGGGAUGGCGGAAUUCCCGGUGUAGAAGUGAAAUUCGUAGAUAUCGGGAAGAACACCUGAGGCGAAGGCGGAUCUCUGGGCCGAUACUGACGCUGAGGAGCGAAAGCGUGGGGAGCGAACAGG